rnacentral:rRNA from 1 species
GACGAACGCUGGCGGCGUGCUUAACACAUGCAAGUCGGACGGUAAGGCCCUUCGGGGUACACGAGUGGCGAACGGGUGAGUAACACGUGGGUGAUCUGCCCUGCACUUCGGGAUAAGCCUGGGAAACUGGGUCUAAUACCGGAUAGGACCACUGCCUGCAUGGGUGGUGGUGGAAAGCUUUUGCGGUGUGGGAUGGGCCCGCGGCCUAUCAGCUUGUUGGUGGGGUGAUGGCCUACCAAGGCGACGACGGGUAGCCGGCCUGAGAGGGUGACCGGCCACACUGGGACUGGGAUACGGCCCAGACUCCUACGGGAGGCAGCAGUGGGGAAUAUUGCACAAUGGGCGCAAGCCUGAUGCAGCGACGCCGCGUGAGGGAUGACGGCCUUCGGGUUGUAAACCUCUUUCAGCACCGACGAAGCGCAAGUGACGGUAGGUGCAGAAGAAGGACCGGCCAACUACGUGUCAGCAGCCGCAGUAA